rnacentral:rRNA from 1 species
AUUGAACGCUGGCGGCAGGCCUAACACAUGCAAGUCGAGCGCGAGGCGGACGGGUGAGUAAUGUCUGGGAAACUGCCUGAUGGAGGGGGGUAACUACUGGAAACGGUAGCUAAUACCGCAUACAAUAAGAUGUGACCCGAUGGGGUUAGGUAGUAGGUGGGGUAAUGGCACACCUAGGCGAAGAUCCCUAGCUGGUCUGAGAGGAUGACCAGCCACACGGGAACUGAGACACGGUCCAGACUCCUACGGGAGGCAGCAGUGGGGAAUAUUGCACAAUGGGCGCAAGCCUGAUGCAGCCAUGCCGCGUGUGUGAAGAAGGCCUUCGGGUUGUAAAGCACUUUCAGCGGGGAGGCGUUACCCGCAGAAGAAGCACCGGCUAACUCCGUGCCAGCAGCCGCGGUAAUAC